AGGGGGAGCACCGGAUCCUGGGCUGUGUCCCCCAGCACCCUGGGAUCCAGGGUCUGCGCCACUGGAAUCGCACUCCCAGGGCCGUGCAGCCCCUC
rnacentral:pre_miRNA from 1 species